rnacentral:rRNA from 1 species
AUUGCGAAGGGUUUGAUCCUGGCUCAGAACGAACGGUGGCGGUGUGCUUAUUACAUGCAAGUCGAGCGAUAAUCGGGCAACCGAGGAAAGCGGCGGAUGGGU